GGAACAGUACACAAAGGUACUCUCAAACCACAAAAUGCAUGCCCGAGUGCAGAAUGCAUCGCAAGGUGGAUUUGAGUACUUCAGCAGCAUCCACUCUCCCAAGGGAACUGAGGCUUCUGGAAAAGCCCUGUGCCUAGAUGAUCAUUUCUCUCAGGCAUAUAUUAAGAGCGGUUAAAAACCACACCUGCAGAACUGCCACUCCAAUGACAGCUUCAGAAAUUGCCCGCGUCCAGGUGAAGAAGGACCAAGAAGGCCAACCCCAUCCAACAUGACUUCCUUCCAGUGACAAGCAGUAAAUGAAUUACCGUCUAGUAGACCUUAACAGUAAGCCAAGAAGACACAUGCAUAUUAGUCAAUGUUCUGAAGAAAAUAAAUGGGAUGCCUUAUCAGAAAAAAGCCUGGGAUUUAACUUUUGAGAAGGCAGCUCAGUAAGUUCCCUCUAAGGAGACUGUUUUUCAACUGAGAAUUCAAAGGUGGGAAAGAGCCUCCACUCUCUGCAUCAGGGAAGAGUCUUCUGGGCAGACAAGGGAAAGAAGCCCUGAGCUAGAAAGAUCACAAGCUUUUGAGAGUAAUAAAGAAGGCCAGGUGCUAGGGAAGGGAGCGGCUGGAGCCAUAACACAGCUGGGAGGGCAUU